GAAAUGCGAUAAGUAAUGUGAAUUGCAGAAUUCAGUGAAUCAUCGAAUCUUUGAACGCACCUUGCGCUCCUUGGUAUUCCUUGGAGCAUGCCUGUUUUGAGUAUCAUGAAAUCUUCAAAGUAAAUCUUUUGUUAACUCAAUUGGUUUCUACUUUGGUAUUGGAGGUCUUUGCAGCUUCACACCUGCUCCUCUUUGUUCAUUAGCUGGAUCUCAGUGUUAUGCUUGGUUCCACUCGGCGUGAUAAGUUAUCUAUCGCUGAGGACACUGUAAAAGGUGGCCAAGGUAAAUGCAGAUGAACCGCUUCUAAUAGUCCAUUGACUUGGACAAUACUUUUAUGAUCUGAUCUCAAAUCAGGUAGGACUACCCGCUGAACUUAAGC
rnacentral:misc_RNA from 1 species